rnacentral:lncRNA from 1 species
GUCACGCUUGGAGGCUGCAAAGUGUUAGCCAAGAGGAUGCCGGGGCUGAAUGUGGAGAUCAUGAACGAGAAUGAUCAGAUGGAGUUUGGGGAUGAUGAUCGGCAAAAGGUGGACAAGAUGUACCUGUAUCGAACGCUGGCUGGACAAAGAAGAGAUGCACCUGGAUUCGUCUGGACACUGUAAGGUAAAAGAAGAGGUAGGCAAUAAGUAAGCAAGCAUUAUAAGAAAGGAAGAGGUUGCUUCCAUCUCUUGCCUAUCAAAGCCUGUGUUGUACCCUAUGAAAUACUCUGUUGAGUUAGUUUGUACUUUGUGUAGGCCAACUGAUGAUCACUGUAAUGGAUAUUAUUACUUGGUGGGUGUUAUUUGUUGCACUUUGAGGUUUAGUUUUGUAAGAGAUUUGAAUAUGGUUGGGGGGUGUUUAUACUCCCCUUUUUAUUUGGCAUAUUCAUAAAUUAGAGUACUCUCCUAUUGGGGCUGCUUAUUUCUAUGAUAUGUCUUUGCAUUGUUACCAUUUCCAG